GUAGGGAAUAUUGGUCAAUGGACGAAAGUCUGAACCAGCCAUUCCGCGUGCAGGAAGAAGAUUCUAUGGAUUGUAAACUGCUUUUAGCAGAGAAGAAACGCCUUCAUUGAUGAGGGUUUGACGGUAUCUGCGGAAUAAGCACCGGCUAACUCCGUGCCAGCAGCCGCGGUAAUACGGGGGGUGCAAGCGUUAUCCGGAAUCACUGUGUUUAAAGGGUGCGUAGGCGGGAAAUUAAGUCAGUGGUGAAAGUCUGUUGCUUAACGAUAGAAUUGCCGUUGAUACUGAUUUUCUUGAAUUGGGUUGAGGUUAGCGGAAUGUGACAUGUAGCGGUGAAAUGCAUAGAUAUGUCAUGGAACACCAAUUGCGAAGGCAGCUAGCUGGGCCUUGAUUGACGCUGAGGCACGAAAGCGUGGGUAGCGAACAGGAUUAGAAACCCUGGUAGUCC
rnacentral:rRNA from 1 species